AGUCUUCAGGUAUAGUGAGCGGGAGUGCUCGUGUUAACAAUGCUACGGUCGGAUCCGAGACAAAGCACAGAUCAAGCAAUCGACCCAAGGAGUUUUUUACAUGGUUGACUUGAGACAGGGACAGGUCUAAUAAGCCAUCAAUAAACUCAUGUCGUGACAUGGGCACAAGGUUGUUUGACUCUUUAACCGAAGACCAGACAGUACCUGGCAGGUUGAAAUCCUGCCUAUUAAAUGGUCUUUAUCUGAUAGCGAGGAAGAAACAGUUUUUAAGGCAGACAAAUGCUGCUCGUAUAUUGGUACAUCCGAAGACGGUGGAAUAUACGAGCAAGUGACAUAAAUAGACUGGCCGGGAAGAAUCAGUCUAACACAGAGGAAUUCCAGGUCUUGUGAGACCUGGACUAUGAAAAGUUCCGACGUAAAGUUAGAGUUUACUGCAAUCAGAACCCCUCCUCCACGUCGAGACGAACGAUCAUUUCUAUAAGUUGUGUACCGAUCUGCCAAAACUUCGGAACUAAGAAUGUCCGGCUUUAACCAGGUUUCGGUAAACACAAUAACAUGGGAUGACAAUGUGAAAAUAUCCAUAAAAAGAGUGCUCAGCUUACUACGUAAGCCGCGAGCAUUUUGAUAGGCUACAAAGAGGGAUGUUAGUUUUUUGACUGCAAGGAAUUGCAGUGGGAAGAGGAGAAUGGAGCGGAGGAGGAAGGACCACUGGCCUCACUACUAGGAAGAGUUAUGGGGGGCCUAUUUUUCUUCUUAGCCUUAAACUCUUUCACAACCAGGUGCUCUGGCCAAAAUUUGGAAGAGCAAAUGGUCUCGAAAUGAGUUGGAGACACGCUAAUCUUGAAAGAGGAUAUCUCCCUGGCAUAAGAGAAAUUAAACUUCUCCACCUUUAAGCCAACGGCUUUUAUUUUGCUUUGUAUAAAAGCAGUUACAUCAUUAGAUGUGAGGUCAGGGGCAAGCCGAGAGACAAAAACUUGCCGCUUUGGUGGGACUCCCACCAGAGGUUUUGGCACCACAGGUCUGGUACCUGUGACGGCAAUAUCCGGUGGUCCGGGACGUUUAUUAACUGGUGGGAUCGACAUAAAUGGGAUGGGCUUUGGAACGGACUCGACAGACACGGACGCUACAGUACUAACUGGCUGCAUGUUCUCCGAGAUGAUCGAUUCGGUAGCCGAAACUUGAUCACCAGCAGUUGUCGUUGCCCUUGGAGUAGCGAACGAAAUUAGCUGCUGCACUAUCGGAGUGGACAGAGACAGUUGAUCAGCAGCGAUCGGUCAAGGGACAGGCACUUCCAGAUCCAAAGGAGUGACUUUUUUGUGCCUAGGAGACUCAUUCAGC
rnacentral:lncRNA from 1 species